GAGAAAUGCUGAUGAGGGUGGUCUUACUGAAGAAGAAAUCAGUGCUUCUUCAGGGAUGUUGCUAAGUACAUCAGUUCAAAGCCGUGCCUUAAAAUCCUGAUGCCGUUUGGAUCGCAUAUCAGUAGCAUUCGUGGCAUUUCUUCCGGACCAAGUUCAUCUGAUGCCAAGCUGGAAUCUUGAUUUUUUGCUGAGGAGAUCUUUUUUUUUUCUUACUCUUUUUCGGGGUUCUUGUUUUGUUUGUCGACCGAGGAGGUGGAAAUAGGAAAUAAGUUAGUGAAGGGUAAUAUUCUGCUGAUGAUUUGCGAUGACUAGUUCGCCCUUUUGUGGGUUCGUUUUUUAGAAUUUUUUCAUAAGGUGAAAAAAAAAGGAAGUUAGUAAAGGGAAUAGAAUUUUAGGGGUUUCUUUAUUUUUAUCAAACUACAUGUUCGAAGAAAUUGCUUCUCUGCAAAAUCUUUGGUCUUGACAGUUUUGGUGGUCUCUUUGAAUAGGUAAAUGAACAAAAUAUUUUGUUAAGAGUUUUUUUUCUUUCUUUUUUUUUUUUAAUCAUCUAACAGCUUCUUUAAUUUGAAGUUGGAGGGUGUUUGACAUAAGAUUAUUUAAAAGAAUAUUAUAAUUUUUUUUUU